rnacentral:lncRNA from 1 species
CCUUGCUGAGGGCAGAGGCAGGGUCUUGGGCUGCAAGCUCGCCUGCACCACCGCUACUCACUUGCACCUCCAUUCUCUAGCUCUUUUUAUUUUUAUUUUUUUGAGAUAAGGUCUCGCUCUGUUGCCCAGGCUGGAGCACAGUGGCGUGAUCUUGGAUCACUGCAGCCUCUAUCUCUCUGGCUCAGGGGAUUCUCCCACUUCAGCUUCCCAAGAAUUUGGGACCACAGGUGCCUGCUACCAUGCCCGGCUAAUUUUGUUUAUUUUUUGUAGAGAUGAGGUCUCACUAUGUUGCCCAGGCUGGUCUCGAGCUCCUGGGCUCAAGCAAUCCUCCCACCUCGGGCUCCCAAAUUGCUGGGAUUACAGGAGUAAGCCACUACGCCCGGCCCAUGCCUACAUUCUCUAGCCUCCUCUUCCCCCAUGCAUCUCUUAUCAAUGGGAUACAUUUUGAGAAAUUUCAUUGUUGUGUGAACAUCAUAGAGUGUACUAACACAAACCUAGAUGGAUCAGCCUACUACACUAGUAUUUGUGUAUCUAAACAAAUCUAAACAUAGAAAAGGUACAGUAGAAAUGCGAGACCAGCUCGACUGGGGACAGCCUAACCCAGUGGCACUAGAGGAAUUAAAGACACACACACAGAAAUAUAGAGGUGUAAAGUGGGAAAUCAGGGGCCUCACAGCCUUCAGAGCUGAGAGCCCCAAACAGAGAUUACCCAUGUAUUUAUUAACAGCAAGCCAGUCAUUAGCAUUGUUUCUAUAGAUACUCGAUUAACUAAAAGUAUCCCUUAUGGGAAAAGAAGGGAUGGGCCGAAAUGAAGGGGUGGGUCUGGCUAGUUAUCUGCAGCAGGAACAUGCCCUUAAGGCACAGAUUGCUCAUGCUAUUGUUCAUGGUUUAAGAACGCCUUUAAGCGGUUUUCCGACCUGGGUGGGCCAGGUGUUCCUUGUCCUCAUUCCAGUAAACCCACAACCUUCCAGCGUGGGCGUUAUGGCCCUCAUGAACAUGACACAGUGCUGCAGAGAUUUUGUUUAUGGCUAGUUUUGGGGCCAGUUUAUGGCCAGAUUUGGGGGGGCCUGUUCCCAACAAGAAAUAUGGUAUAAAUGAUUAAAAAACUGUACACCUGGCCAGGCACAGUGGCUGACGCCUGUAAUCUCAGCACUUUGGGAGGCCAAGGCAAGGCGGAUCACGAGGUCAGGAGAUAGAGACCAUUCUGGCUAACACGGUGAAACCCCGUCUCUACUAAAAAUACAAAAAAAUUAGCUGGGCGUGGUGGUGGGUGCCUGUAGUCCCAGCCACUCGGGAGGCUGAGGCAGGAGAAUGGCAUGAACCCAGGAGGCAGAGCUUGCGGUUAGCCGCGAUCACACCACUGCACUCCAGCCUGGGUGACAGAGUGAUACUCUGUCUCAAAAAAAAAAAAAAAAAGAUUGUACACCUGUAUAGGACACUUACCAUGAAUGGAGCUUGCAGGACUGGAAGUUGCUCUGGGUGAGUCAGUGAGGAGGGUGAAUGAAUGUGAAGGCCUAGGACAUUACUGUACACCACUGUAGACUUUAUACACACUGUGCACUUAGGGUACACAACAUUUUUUUAAAAUGCUUUUCUUUCUUCAAUAAUAAACUAACAUUAGCAUACUGUAACUUUGUAACUUUAUAAACUUUUUAACAUUUUAAGCCUUUUUGACACCUUUGUGGUAGCUUAAAACACAAACAUUGUAUAGCUGUACAAAAAUAUUUUCUUUUUAUCCUUACUAUAUAAACUUUUUUCUUUUUUUUUUUUUUAAUAGAGAUGGCGUUUUGCUAUGUUGCCCAGGGUGGUCUCAAACUCCUUGUAUGAUUCUCCCCAGGGUCUGAAAGCUUAAGGGGAUGAGUAACCCCUCCCUUCCCAGGCCCAGUCCCAAGGCGCAAGGUCACUUGUGUCAGCAGUGUGCGCCAGCAGGAUAGCAGAAGCAGGAAGAGAGCCGGCUGGAAGACACGUACCCCCGAAGAUCGAGAAAGAGGCCAUCCGGGUACAACGUAGCAGUUACGUCAGACUAGGACACUUCCUGUUUACAGGAGACUGUAAAACCUUUGCCCCGUCCUCACUUGGUGCUGACGCCAUUUUAAGCCUCGGCCUUCCUGCACUCAGGCGCACCCAGGCGCUCCUUAAAACAGCUUAUUGCUCCACACCUCCUCGUGUUGUCUGUGGACGCGCUCUUGGGGUUGGAACCGAUACAAGAACCUUACACUGCUGGGCUCAAGUGAUCUGCCUGCCUCGGCCUCCCAACGUGUUGGGAUUACAGGCGUGAGCCACCACGCCUGGCCUAUUCUUUUACUUUUUAAAAUUUUGUGAAAAACUAAGACACAAACACACACAUUAGUUUAGGCCUACACGGGGUCAGGAUCAUCAAUAUCACUGUCUACCACUUCCACAUGUUGUACCACUGGAAGAUCUUCACGGGCAAAAACACACAUGGAACUGUCACCUAUGAUGAUGAUGCUUCCUUCUGUAGUACCUCCUGAAGGCUCUGCCUGAAGCUGUUUACAGUUAACUUUUUUUUUUAAAAAAAAGUAUAAGUAGAAGGAGAAUACUCUAAAGUGAUGAUAAAAAGUAUAGUAUAGCAAGCUGGGCACGGUGGCUCACACCUAUAAUCCCAGCACUUUGGGAGGCCGAGGCAGGCGGACCACCUGAGUAUUGACUUUCUCUUUAUGUUGGAUUUAGGAGGAGGACAGGACAUCUUUUUCUUUGCCUGUAUCCCAGGGAUAGGAGCAAAAAAUUUCUAAGAAUAAUGACUUGAUCAAAGAGAUUCGGGGACUCUAAUCCCUUUCAGUUCAGAUGUUUUAGAAUAAUUUUCAUGCCUAAAGACGGUGAUUUACUUUUAUUUUUAUUUUUAGAGAUAGAGUCUCUCUCUGUUGCCCAGGCUGGAGUGCAGUGACGUGAUCUCACCUCACUGCAACCUCCGCCUCCCAGGUUCAAGCGAUUCUCGUGCUUCAGCUUCUGUAGUAGCUGGGAUUACAGGCAUGUGUCACCACGUGCAGCUAAUUUUUGUAUUUAAAUUUAGUAGAGACGGGGUUUCGGCAUGUUGGUCAGGCUGGUCUCAAACUCCUGGCCUCAAGUGAUCCGCCUGUCUUGGCCUUCCAAAAUGUUGGGAUUACAGGCGUGAGCCACUGCACCCAGCCAAAAUAUGUGAUUUUAUGUCUUCUAGGAAAAUAGUGUAAAAUUCAGCACGUUAAGAAGCUUUUGGUUUUCUGAAUUAUGUUUGACAUGUUAUUGUUGACAAACAGAGGACUCUGAUUAAUAGCUCCAGGAAGCCAUCACUAUUGUUGCGAGUUUAAAGGUUAAAGACCCAAGAUUUAGGAAGAGUUAACACUAAAUAAUCCUAGAUUCUGACUGUUUUUCAGGAAAUAAAUCUUUAUAUGUAUUUGUGUUCUCUAUAUAUACACACAUACAGUAGGCUAAUAUACAUAUACAUACAGUAGGCUGGUCUUAAACUCCGUCAGGAGUUCAGGCGAUCCACCCACCUCAGCCUCCCAAAGUGCUGGGAUCACAGGGGUGAGCCACGCGCCCAGCUCUGUUUCUUAUCCAUGUCUAACCAGGAAGCCCCUACUUCCUGUCUUACCAGACUGAACCAAUUUACAACUUAUACAUAUUGAUUGAUGUCUCAUGUCUCCCUAAAAUGUAUAAAAGCAAACUGUACCCCUGACCACUUUGGGCACAUGUCUCAGGACUUUCUGAGGCUGUGUCAUGGGUGCAUCCUCAACCUUGGCAAAAUAAACCUUCUUUCUGGGUUUUUUUUUUUUUUUGAGAUGGAGUUUCACUCUUGUUGCCCAGGCUGGAGUGCAAUGGCGUGAUCUCGGCUCACCACAACCUCUGCCACCCAAGUUCAAGCAAUUCUCCUGCCUCAGCCUCCCAAGUAGCUGGGAUUACAGGCACGCGCCACCACGCCCAGCUAAUUUUGUAUUUUUAGUAGAGGUUUCUCCAUGUUGGUCAGGCUGGUCUCAAACUCCGGACCUCAGGUGAUCUGCCUGCUUUGGCCUCCCAAAAGUGCUGGGAUUACAGGCAUGAGCCACUGUGCCCAGCCUUGGCAAAAUAAACUUUCUAAAUUGACUGAGACCUGUCUCAGAUAUUUGGGGUUCACUAUUAUAUGCGCACGCACACACACACACACAUAUAUGUAUUUGUUUCUUGAGACAGGGUCUCCCUCUGUCACCUAGGCUGGAGUGCAAUGGCAUGAUCAUGGGUCACAGCCCCCUCAACCUUCUGGGCUCAAGUGACCCUCCCACCUCAGCCUCCUGAGUAGCUGGAACUACAGGCAUGCACCACCACAUCUGGCUAAUUUUCAGUUCAAAUUUCUUUUCUUUUUUUUUUUUUUUUGAGACGGAAUCUUGCUCUGUCACCCAGACUGGAGUGCAGUGGCAUGAUCUCAGCUCAUUGCAACCUACCCUUCCCGGGUUCAAGCGAUUCUCCUGCCUCAGCCUCCCAAGUAGCUGAGACUACAGGCGCGUGCCACCAAGCCCAGCUAAUUUUUGUAUUUUUAGUAGAGAGGGGGUUUCACCAUAUUGGCCAGGGUGGUCUUGAACUCCUGACCUCCUGACCUCGGCCUCCCAAAGUGCUGGGAUUACAGGCGUGAGCCACCGCACCCAGCCUUCAGUUCAAAUUUCAACCUAUCUGACUUUUAAGCUUCCUUUCUAGCCUCCUGCUCUCAACUUAUUUAUUUCCCUCAGCAGCAAGUAUCACCUUCAUUAACUUCUGUUUUUAUGACACUGUAUCCCAUGCCUCCCACACACCACAAUUCUAAGAAUUCUGCAGUCACUGCCCAGAAAAUAUGGAAUCUCAAACUUUAGUUUCAGAUUUGGCCUUUUCUCUAAUUUAUACCUCUAAGUGAGCUAAUAGGUACUGACCAUUAAAUUAGAAUAGAAAUCAGAAGACAGGAUCCUAUCUUCUCAGGAGGAAUAAUCAAAUAGAAAAGUAAGACAAAGCAAGCAAAAGUUUGUUGUUGUUGUUGUUGUUGUUGUUAUUGUCGUUUUGAGAUGGAGUCUCACUCUGUCACCAGGCUGGAGUGCAGUGGCACGAUCUCGGCUCACUGCAACCUCCAUCUCCCGGCUUCAAGCAAGCAAUUCUCCUGCCCCAGCCGCCCGAGUAGCUGGGAUUUAAGAAUAAUGUGAUUAAAUAGGCCGGAUGCCGUGGUUCACACCUGUAAUCCCAGCACUUUGGGAGGCCGAGGCGGGCGGAUCACUUGAGGCCAGGAGUUCGAGAUCAGCCUGGGCAACAUGGUGCAACCUCGUCUCUACUAUGAAUACAAAAAUUGGCUGGGCAUGGUGGUGCAUGCCUGUAAUCCCAACUACUCAGGAGGCUGAGGCAGGGGAAUUGCUUGAACCCGGGAGGCGGAAGUUGCAGUGAGCCGAGAUCAUGCCACUGCACUCCACCCUGGGGGACAGAGCGAGACUCCGCCUCAAAAAAAAAAAAAAAAAAAAAAAGAAUAUCAUGAAAUAGCUUUUAUUUCCAAAAAGAUGGAAGGCAAAGACAGAGCCACACUCACCGGGGGGAUGAGGCAGCAGGAGCGGAUGGAGUCGCUGAGGCCCAUCCAUUGCUGGUAGUUGGGGCAGUCAGUGGUGCAUUCGUAGCUGCGGCCCUGGAAGGCCCUGUCCUCGUAGAAGGUGAUCUGAAAAAUGGAAGAUGUGGGAGCAUGGAGUGAUUGGCCCCCACUGAGGCCACUGCAUUAGGGCCAAGGCUGAGCAUCCGGUACCCAGGACUUACCUUUCCCAUUUUGAAGGAAGUGAGCAGAUGUUUUCUGGUUGCUGUGUGGGACUGCGGGAACGUCACUGUAUGUAUAGCAGCCCUGACUGCUGCCUCCACAGGAAAUCACACAAAAGGGCCCAUUUUGGUGAGUAAGGGGAUUUGCAAGCUCGCUGCUCUCCGUGCCCAGGUCACUGGGGUUGGCUGAAUGGUUUACUCUCAUUCUUUCUGGUAGGUUCGGGUUGUUCUAAUUCACUAAAGCUGUUGUUGCCAUCAAAAUGAAUAGAGUACACUUUUAGUUGAGCAAAAGGAUGGGCGAAAUUCUGUCUCUGUGCUUUUAUUUUAUAGUUUACUCUGCUUAAUUGACUUCUCAAAAGUCAUUAAACUAAGUAAUGAAUUCUGCUCAGGGACUGGUGGUGUUUUUGUGUGUGUGUGUGUGUGUGUUUUAGUUCUAAAAGCCAGAAUUUAAAUAGUAAGGAAUCUUAAAGAAGAGGGAAUCAAGUGAAGUAAUCUGUGAAAGUGUGUUAAAACCCAUAAAGCUUAGUUCAAAUUCAAAAUUCUGUGAUCAGCCAGGCGAGGUGGUGCACACCUAUAAUCCCAGGACUUUGGGAGGCUGAGGCAGGUGGAUUGCUUGAGCUCAGGAGUUAGAGACCAGCCUAGGUAACAUGGUGAGACCCCAUCUCUACAACAAAUACAAAAAUUAGCCCUGCAUGGUGGCGCAUACCUGUAGUCCCAGCUAUUUGGGAGGCUGAGGUGAGAGGAUUGCUUAAGCUCAGGAGGUCGAGGUUGCAGUGAGCCAUGAUUGCACCACUGCACUCCAGCCUGGGCAACAGAGCAAGACCCUGUCGCAAAAAAAAAAAAAAAAAAAUUCUGUGAUCAUCAUUGUUGGUGUUUGGGGGCUUGUCUUGAAUAAAACUGAUACUUGCCUGGAAUUUUGUAGGCUUCUGGGGGCUGGGUAUUAUUUCUUGUUCAUGUCUAUCCCUGAGCCCUAGAGCAGAGGGUUGGCACAUUGCAGGUCCUCAAUAAUUGGCUCUGACCUGAGCAAAAACAGAUAGUUGUGGCUUUCUUCCCCCUUUCAGAUCUUCCUAAGGGCCUAAAUCCCUCCUUCUGCUGGUGGCUGUCCAGAGUCCUGCCUGCUGUUUGGUGUUCCUGCUCUGCCUCAAAUGUUACCACUAAGUGGCUGAUUGGUCUUCUCAAGGCAUGGGACCAAAAGGGCUCAGAGUUGGUCCCUAUUGCUGGCAGAUUGGACAUUCUACAGUGGAAAUAGCUGGAUUAGCCUUAAUAAGUAGAAGUUAAUGCAUAGCCUUCAUCCAUACCACUAUGAACGCUCUCUUAGUGAGCUCACUGCCAGCAGUAGGGUGGCUGAUGGCAGACGCUGACUGGAAUCAAAUGACCAAAUCAUUUUUUCUACUUGGUUGUUUAGUGCCUCUUCAAUGGUGGAUGCCCUACACUGGGCCUUCACAUGGGAUACAACUAUCUUCGCCCUUUGUGCCCAAUCCCAUAUCUCCCUGCACAUUCCUCUACCCCAGACCUUCUUGUCCCUAAUCUUCCAAUCUUUCUCCUUCCAGGCCCUGGACCAGCCAGCCAAGCCACACAUUACUGCUCAAUAAUUCCAUAUAUGCUUGACCUUGGGCUACUUUUCUUUCUGCACCGAGUGAGCAGCCAGGUGCACUACCUCAAGGUUGCCUUUUGGGAGGAUUUCCCUCACUGCUGUCUUUAGGGUGACUCCUGAGUGAGCUAUUCUGCAGCAGCAUUCUAUUUUGGGCUUGUACCCAAAUGCCAUGCCAAUUUAUUAGUGUAUCAAGCUCAGCCUUCCCCCACUCUAUCAGCUGGUCAGAAGGGACCCCUGCAGGCAGUUGUAAGUGUGAGCUGAGAGAGAGCUAUUGCAAUAAUGGUGACUUCAUCCCAUCCCGCAGGGAAGGCUAGGGCUAGAGUUGUCAGGAACUUAGGCAAGUGGACCGGGAAUCUGUGCCUCUGCAUUGCCCCGUAAUUUGAUGUGGGCUGCUGCCAUGGAGAAGUGUAACUUUGGGCAAGGCAGCUUCCUCCAGCAGAAGAAAAUUCUUGGAGACAAACUCAGCUUUAAGCUGUCAGCAUCUGGGAGAAGGAGUGCUUCAGUCCACAGUGGAAGUCCAGGCAGCACCAGAGCGUCCACUACAAGAAGAAAAUAAAGCUGAGAUAACUGCAGUUAACAUUUUGGUGUUUCAUCAUCCCAGCUUUUUUAUAUGUCAAACCCAUGUGUGGUUGUACAGUGUUAUUUAUACUGUGUAGCAUUCUCUUGUUUUCUUCUAAGUCACCUUUCAAAUAAAGUGAUUAGUAAUACU